CUUGCUCCUUCCCCGCGAGCCGGGCCCCGGAGCCGCGGUGGGAGGAUGAGUCCCUGGAGCUGGUUCCUGCUGCCGACCCUCUGCCUCCUGCCCGCGAGCGCAGCCCCGCGGCGCGGCGCGCCCGCCUCCGCCGACUGCGAGCUCCAGCCCCAGCAAAGUGAAUUGAAUUCCUUCUUGUGGACCAUAAAGCGAGACCCGCCGUCUUACUUCUUUGGCACGAUCCACGUUCCGUACACUCGGGUUUGGGACUUCAUCCCCGACAACUCCAAGGAGGCUUUUCAGCAGAGCAGCAUUGUGUACUUCGAGCUGGACCUCACGGACCCCUACACUAUCUCAGCCCUCACCAGCUGUCAGAUGUUGCCACAGGGUGAGAACCUCCAGGACGUGCUCCCCAGGGACAUCUAUUGCCGCCUCAAGCGCCACCUAGAGUAUGUCAAGCUCAUGAUGCCCUCGUGGAUGACCCCAGACCAGCGGGGCAAAGGUCUCUAUGCCGACUACCUCUUCAAUGCCAUUGCGGGGAACUGGGAGCGGAAGAGGCCCAUCUGGGUGAUGCUCAUGGUCAACUCCCUGACUGAAGUGGACAUUAAGUCCCGUGGGGUGCCUGUCUUAGACCUGUACCUUGCCCAGGAGGCCGAGCGGCUGAGGAAACAGACUGGGGCCGUGGAAAAGGUGGAAGAGCAGUGCCAUCCGCUGAAUGGGCUCAACUUUUCACAGGUCCUCUUUGCUUUGAACCAGACCCUCCUACAGCAGGAGAGCCUCCGAGCAGGCAGCCUUCAGAUCCCCUACACAACGGAGGAUCUCAUCAAGCACUAUAAGUGUGGGGACCUCAGCUCCGUCAUUUUCAGCCAUGACAGCUCCCAGGUUCCCAAUUUUAUUAACUCCACGCUGCCACCUCAGGAGCGGGUCACUGCCCAGGAGAUUGACAGCUACUUCCGCCAAGAACUUAUCUACAAGCGGAAUGAGAGAAUGGGGAAGCGGGUGAAGGCCCUUUUGGAAGAGUUUCCCGAUAAAGGCUUUUUCUUUGCCUUUGGAGCAGGUCAUUUCAUGGGCAACAACACGGUGCUAGAUGUCUUGCGGCGAGAAGGAUAUGAGGUAGAGCACGCCCCUGCUGGACGACCCAUCAACAAAGAGAAGAGUCCAAGAUCCUCCUCAGGGCCCGCCUCCUCGACCAUCUUUGCCCCUGAAGAGCCCGCGGUGGAAGCACCGGCACCGGCACCGGAAGCUCCUGCGGCUGCGGCGCGCGCCCUGUUGCCUCCUCACGCGUCCCCGCCCGGAAGUGCCGACCUAGGUGGCGAGGCGGAGCGGAAGUUCCGGAAGAAGCGGAGGCGGCCGCGCCCUCAGCGAAGGCAGCGGCUUCGGCAGUUCAGCGAUCUGUGGGUCCGACUGGAGGAGAGUGCUGUGGUGCCACAGCUCCAGGUCCCUGUUCUGGAGAGGUACAUCUCUGCCGAGCUGCAGCUCCCUCACCAUGGGCAUUCCCACCACAGCCAGAUGGUGGCUAGCAGCGCCUGUCUGUCUCUCUGGACUCCUGUGUUCUGGGUGCUGGUGCUGGCUUUCCAAACAGAGACACCCCUCCUGUAAUGACUGCAGGAGUCACCCCUUGGACUUGAAGGAUCGCUAUUCUGUACUCCACACUCUGCUCUGGCCUGGAUAGGCCCAAUCCAGGAAGAAGGACAGAAUAAAAGUGUUGAUUCUUCUCUUUCCAAGGAAUGACUUUGGGUUAUCCAGCAGUGCUUGGGAAAUGAGCCACUGCCAAACUCUUGACAAUAUUCAAAAGGCAUCAUCUUGAUGUGAGGAAGAACGUAGGAAAAAGUUGGUGAGCUAGCAUAACCAAUUUUUUUCAUAUCCUUAACCCAGCGUUGAUAAUAACUUUGUGGUAA